UGGGGAAUUUUGGGCAAUGGGCGAAAGCCUGAUCCAGCAAUGCCGCGUGUGUGAAGAAGGCCUUCGGGUUGUAAAGCACUUUUGUCCGGAAAGAAAUCCUUGGCUCUAAUACAGUCGGGGGAUGACGGUACCGGAAGAAUAAGCACCGGCUAACUACGUGCCAGCAGCCGCGGUAAUACGUAGGGUGCAAGCGUUAAUCGGAAUUACUGGGCGUAAAGCGUGCGCAGGCGGUUUGCUAAGACCGAUGUGAAAUCCCCGGGCUCAACCUGGGAACUGCAUUGGUGACUGGCAGGCUAGAGUAUGGCAGAGGGGGGUAGAAUUCCACGUGUAGCAGUGAAAUGCGUAGAGAUGUGGAGGAAUACCGAUGGCGAAGGCAGCCCCCUGGGCCAAUACUGACGCUCAUGCACGAAAAGCGUGGGGAGCAAAACAGGAUUAGAUACCCUGGUAGUCCACGCCCUAAACGAUGUCAACUGGUUGUUGGGGAUUCAUUUCCCUAGUAACGUAGCUAACGCGUGAAGUUGACCGCCUGGGGAGUACGGUCGCAAGAUUAAAACUUAAAUGAAUUGACGGGGUCAUAGCUGUUUCCU
rnacentral:rRNA from 1 species